AACCAGUUCAUGCAAGCACCAAAUCACUUCAACUCAUACCAACUGAAGUUCGAUUGAAAGCAAUCAUAUCGAUCACGUACUUAGCUUCAUUUGGUUCUGGAAACAAAUGGCUCUCCAUCAAGAUUUAGCAUCUCCAGCUCAAACCCUAAAUGCUGCUUUCGAUGUUAAGCCACGUCCUGCUAAUUAUGCCCCAUGCAUCUGGGGCAUCAUUUUCUCUCAUAUUCUUCUAUGGAACUAGACGUUAAAGUCGAGCAACAUGUCCAAGAACUGAAAGAAGAAGUGAAAAGAAUGCUAAUGGUUGUAGUUAACGAGCCUGCUUCGCACAUGUUGGACAUGGUGGAUAACAUUCAGCGUUUAGGCUUGUCGUACCAUUUCGAAAAUGAGAUUGAUACAAUCUUGAAACACGCUCAUGAUCAUUUUUAUGGAAGUAAAGAUUUUGGAAAGGAUGGUGACCUUUACACUACUGCUCUCCAUUUUCGAUUGCUUCGACAACAAGGCUAUAAUGUUUCAUGCGAUGUGUUCAACAAGUUCAAGGAAAGUGACGGGACAUUUAAGGAAUAUCUUACGAGCGAUGUGGUAGGACUACUAAGCUUGUAUGAAGCCACUCAUCUUAGGGUUCAUGGAGAAGACAUACUUGAAGAGGCACUGAUCUUCACCACGACCCAUCUGGAGUCUGCAGCACCCCGAUUGAGUUCUCCCUUGUCAAAACAAGUAACUCAUGCCUUGUAUCAGCCACUUUGGAAGGGCUUUUCAAGGGUUGAAGCAAGGCACUACAUGUCUGUCUAUGAGGACUAUGAUUCACACAACAAAACUUUGCUAACUCUUGCAAAGUUGGAUUUCAACUUAAUGCAGAAAGUCCAUCAGAAAGAACUAAGUGAUAUGACGAGGUGGUGGAAGGACUUGGACUUUGCAAACAAGCUACCUUUUGCAAGAGACAGAAUAGUCGAGACCUACUUUUGGGCUUUAGCAACCAUAUUUGAACCUGAAUAUCACUUCGCUAGGACGAUGGUAUGCAAAUAUGGUGCUCUAACUACAGUGCAAGAUGAUGUUUACGAUGUCUAUGGCUCAUAUCAAGAACUAGAGCUCUAUACAGAUGCCAUUGAGAGGUGGGACAUUUCUGCUAUUGAUGAUCAAUUACCCCAGUGUUUGAAGGAUUGUUAUAAAGGACUGCUGGACAGCUACUCUGCAUAUGAAGAAAAGCUUGCGAAAGAAGGAAACUUGUAUCGCCUUGACUAUGCCAAAGAAGCAAUCAAAAUUCAACUUCGAGGUUACUUCCAGGAAGCCAAAUGGUUGAAGGAAAAAUACACACCAACAAUGGAUGAAUAUAUUCCAAAUGGACUUAACUCAUCCUUCUAUCCGAUGGCAAUCACAUCCUUUGUUGGAAUGGGAGGUCUUGUUACAAAAGACACCAUGGAUUGGGUGUUGAAUGACCCUAAGAUUGUUAAGGCUACAGCACUAACCGGCAGACUCCUCAAUGACAUGGCUGGCCACAAGUUUGAGCAAGACAUAGAGCAGGGCGCCUCAUCGGUAGAAUGCUACAUGAAUCAAUAUGGUGUCACAGAAGAGGAAGCGAAAAUCGAGCUGACCAAACAAAAGGAUGCUGCAUGGAAAGACAUAAACCAAGAGUGGCUCGAUCUCCACUCCAGCAAUAGUAUCCCCAAACCCCUCCUGCAGAUCAUUUUGAAUCUUGCACGUUCUGGUGAAGUUCUUUACAAGAAUGAAGAUCUCUAUACCAACGCUGAAGCUGGACUCAAGGGUUUUAUAGUUUCUCUCCUCAUCAAACCGGUGCCUGUUUAAGCCUAUAAGCUGGUACUUGUUAAUCCUCUAUGCCGUGAAAUCAGUCUCGUCUGUCGAGAAAUCUAUAUAUAUAUGUUCUCUAAUAUAGUUUCACAGAUGGCCUGAUGGCCACUAUGUGUUGUUGGUGAAACGAUUUGGUUUGAAUAAAGCACUUUAUUUUGGGAUGAAAUAAGCAAUAUGUAUUAUGGCAGGUUUUCUGCCUUGUAUCGAGUAAUGACCUAUAAUGUAUAAUAGGUUUUCUGUUUUGGAUUGAAUAAUGACUCUUUGAGUUUGUAGUGGAGUUUUUGAGUGUAUCUAUUAUUUAACCUAGCAUUUCUAAUUUGAUUGUAUGGCUUUUGCCUUGGAAUGAACAAUUCUAUUUUCCUUACAAAUAAACAUGUAUGUCUACUACUCUGCUUGCCAAGU